UCUCCGUAGGUGAACCUGCGGAGGGAUCAUUACCGAGUGAGGGUCUCCGGGCCCGACCUCCAACCCUUUGUGAAUCGUACUCGUUGCUUCGGGGGCGACCCUGCCGUCCGCGGCUGAGCGCCCCCGGGGUCAAUCAAACACUGCAUUCUCUGCGUCGGAGUAUUAGUGAAUCUAAUCAAAACUUUCAACAACGGAUCUCUUGGCUCUCGCAUCGAUGAAGAACGCAGC
rnacentral:misc_RNA from 1 species